CAUCUCUGAAUAAUGGCUGUUUUGUUGAUCAAACUGAUGAUGCCAAGUGGUUGCCUAGAUCUAAAUGGGGAAUCUAUCUCUAUAACAUUUUCAAUAUAGCUUCAUCAUUCUAAGGUUUGCAAUCGAGUCGAAUAAUACCAAAUUAUCACGUUUAACAUAGUGAGAGAAAACAAGUAGCCUCAAAUUUCACAUAUGCGCCUGCUACUCUUCUUGACCUAAUAAUACAUCAAUGCUCGUGGGGGCUGCUGCCACUAUUAAGUCCAUUUAGUUCCAUGUUAUGCUGCCUUCUCAACAAACACUGUAAUCACACUACUCUAACCACUCUAGGCGAUUGCUCCUUGCUAUAAACGUGAUCUAUUCUGUUUUUGGAGGGUUAAUGCAGCAAGUGUACCUGCAGUUAAACUACCGGUGCCAUGGGAAAAGAGCUUUCAGCGCCAGAUCGUGCAUAUGAUAAAAUACAAAUAUGUGCCCUUCAACAUUGGGAAGCAGGUUAGUUUUACUCUUAGAAGUGUCAGCAUAUGCCAUUUCACUACAUAGUCCUGUCAUCUGAUGAGUGUUGGUGCCAUGGGAGUUACAUGUUCAUCACACUCUGAGAAUGUUGAAAGAAGUGACAUUUAUAUAUUCACGCUUGGGUGCUACGGAUCGUAUGGUGACCUCUGAGUGCCUAUUGAUUACUAUUAAGAAAAAAAAAUUCCUGUUUGUAGUUUGAUAACUCACUUAACCGUCUGUUUGUCCUUCCCAAUUACCGGGGUACAUAUUACACUCAGGAUGUUGCUAUUAAGGUGCUUAAACCUGAGAGGAUAAAUUCAGACAUGCAGCGUUAUUUGCUCAGGAAGUGUAUAUUAUGAGGUAUGCUACGAGAUCUCUCUGUUUGUAUCACUUAUUUCUUGUGUAAUGUAUUUACCUUAUCCCAUUAACUCUUAUCCCAUUAACUGUUGUUUCUUCUUUUCUAUCAUGAAUGGUGCCGCAUAAAAGCCGCCAUAAUUGCACUGAAUUUAUCUUCGUAACUACAAUGUGUGCGUUCGAUUAUGACUGCUAUUUACAUGCGAACACAUAUGUCACCUCAGAGGCAGGAGAUUAUAAAUGAUCUCAUUUCCAAUUUAGGAGAUUUAAUUUACCAGUUUUCUCUAUAUGUUGUUGGUAUUGUUUGGGGACCAAUUCAGUUCAUCACCAUGUUCUUGUUUAGUUUGGGCCAAUCAGUUCAUGUCAGACUAAUUCGGUUCAAUUGGGAUAAUCAUUUCAUGUCCUGCAUGCGUUCUGCUAACUGUAGUUCUGUUUGGGCAUAAUUUUGAUUUAAUUGGUUUAAUGUCUACGAAUCUAUAAGAACAAUAGCUAUCUGAUGGUCUCCUGCAACGGUGGGCUUAACCAGAUGCGAGCAGCUGUAUGUCUGUUUGUGAAUACAUUAUACAUUAUUUGCAAGUCAAUAUCUCAAUGCAUUGGUUAAAGUACUGAAAUUUUGAUUGUUUGUGUGUCGGAUAUAUGGUAUGGUGACGAUUACCAGAAUUGGACAAAAUCUCAUUUUGUAAUGGCCCUAGUGAGUUCAACAAUAUAUUUCAUGUGGAUUACUUGAUAGCAUCGUUGAGAGACGAGGUCUGGAUACUGAGAAAGCUUCCUCCAAGGCUGAAAAGAAGAGUUGAGCUAAGAUUUGUCGCUCCAUGCCACCUCUCAGUUGGUCUGAUAUAUCCUAUUACCACAAUCAGGCGAGGAUGGUAAGUGUUUAUUUGUGGAAAACAAAUUCUACCACUGAUAAGGAAGUACAAGACCCUUCAUCGUUCAGAACGAACCACUUCUGGAUGUCAAAUGACACAGGUGUAUCUUCCUAUGUUUGUAUGCCUUCCACAAAGUAGGAGUCAAUGGAAUUGCCCAUGUCCUCCUUCAGCUGCAUAUGUAAUGCUUUUGAAAUUCAAUGGGUUUCUGCUUUGGCUGUCCUUACUCUGUUAUAUAGCUUGGUGCCAACAUCAGUUACUAGUUGCAUACCGCGCGCAGUCUUACAGGUAAAACUAUUUAGUUUUACGAAUUAGUACAACUAUGAACCAAAUCAAGGAGUCUGUACAUUGAAGAGCAAGAUCAGUUACUUUAGUUGUGGCGGCGCGCCAGGGCGCGCCCCAUCCACUAGUAUGAUGUUCGAGAAAGCAUGCAUGUUUGGUAUGGUGUGUUGGGAGUUGUGUAUCCCAUGCACCAGAUAUCAAAUCCUAGCGCCCACAAUUUACCAACACAAGCGUGAAUCUAUAUACUUUAUGUAGGAAUUUUGUGAGGUUUCUUCAUUUUACACCCGACUGCGUUUAUUGAGAAUUUGAGCAUGUGUUAUAAGGGAAAUAUACUCAAGGAUAAGUGUGUCUUCGUUCUUCAUGUACCAUAGAAACAAGAAUAUGCCAAUGGCACAAGAAAUGUGGAUGCUUUUCAACGCUUAGGAAUGUUCCCUAGCUAGCUUAUGCCUCAAAUGUCAACUAGCUAUAUAUAU